CCUACGGGAGGCAGCAGUGGGGAAUAUUGCACAAUGGGCGCAAGCCUGAUGCAGCCAUGCCGCGUGUGUGAAGAAGGCCUUCGGGUUGUAAAGCACUUUCAGCGGGGAGGAAGGCGUUAAGGUUAAUAACCUUGGCGAUUGACGUUACCCGCAGAAGAAGCACCGGCUAACUCCGUGCCAGCAGCCGCGGUAAUACGGAGGGUGCAAGCGUUAAUCGGAAUUACUGGGCGUAAAGCGCACGCAGGCGGUCUGUCAAGUCGGAUGUGAAAUCCCCGGGCUCAACCUGGGAACUGCAUUCGAAACUGGCAGGCUAGAGUCUUGUAGAGGGGGGUAGAAUUCCAGGUGUAGCGGUGAAAUGCGUAGAGAUCUGGAGGAAUACCGGUGGCGAAGGCGGUCCCCUGGACAAAGACUGACGCUCAGGUGCGAAAGCGUGGGGAGCAAACAGGAUUAGAUACCCCAGUAGUC
rnacentral:rRNA from 1 species